AUGAUCGUUAACGUAAACAUUCUAAAUAUACACCUAGGCAAGGCCAAUAGGUGGCAAUUCAAGAAUAAGAUUAAUCGUGGCCAACAACAAUAUAAUCAAGAACACCUGCAGCAGCAACAACAUACUCAACAAUCAUUCUACAAUUCCAAGCUUGUCUUUGAACAAGACUCGAGCAACUCCACGUUACCAUCAUCAAACACAUCAUUUAUCCUGACAUCAUCGAAUUUUGCACGUGGUGGACUUCCAGGAGAAUCUUACAACAAUUCCGCUGUGACAUUGAUACCUCAAACCCCAUAUGUCAAGCCAUCGGACACACAAACCUUUUGUUUGCUCCAAGAUCGACAAAAAUCUCAGCUAGUUCAACGUCAACAACCAUCGACUCAUAAUUCUUAUUACAAUAUAUCUUCAGCAAAUGCUUGCAGUUUGCAAACGAUGAAUCCAAAUGCAUUUCAAUUAGCAAACGUCAAUCCAUAUACUACUGUAACAUCUUUCACGAAUAAUCAGAUUAUAGGACCGAUACAAACGGUACAAGCUACACAAAUAUUUCCAAAUUCACAAAUAGAUUUAUUAUUUGCUGGUCAAUUACGUGAAAAAUUGUCAGAAACUAAUAUUGAUAAUACUUUUUCAAAAUACUCGAAAGAUAAGUUACCGAUCGUCGGUAACACAAUUCCCAUCAAUUCGAUUGAUAAAACAAAUAAUCACGGAGACUGGUCGGUACAUGAAAACAAAGCAACUUCAGUGAAUAAUUUCGAGUCAAAUUCAAAAGACUCAUCUGUUCCACGGACGGUGGAGAAUCGAAUAGUUGAGAAGAUACAAGAAGAAGGUGCUUGCUCAGACGAAUCUUCGGCAAGUUUCGAAUUCACUCUCGAAGCUGAAAAAAUGGUCUCGGCAUUGUGCAACACUACAUCAUCAAACGAUCUCAGCAAAGAAGAAUCACGUAAUGGAACAAAAUCUGAAGCUAUAGUGUUUUUCGAUGGAGCUGGUGAUAAUCCAUCGAACAAAAACAACUGGUUCACUAAUUUUUGCACGGAUGAAAGUAAUAAAAGUGAGAAUAGUAAAUCUAUAGCCGUUCAAACGGAUGGUCCAUGUACAGACAGAUUACAAUAUCCAGAACUAAUUCGAAAAACGGCUUAUUGGGGUUGCACCAAAGCCGAGAUUGUCCUCAAUUCAGAAACUUUGGAAAACAAUGGAAAGUGCGAUCGUUUGAUAAAUUUGUCUUCGGCUACUAGAACAGCUAUCACAAAAUCUUCAACUUGCUUUCCAAUAUUCGCUGGCGAUCGUAUCUUUGCUAAAGACUUGAUAAAAGCUUUGUUACGGGUUAGCAACGGCUGGCUCAUUCUCGACAAUUAUUUGAACAAACAGCAUUAUCCCAGCCUAGCUGAAAAAUUAGAUGAUGAGUUACUUCGAUGUUUUCAAAGAUGGGAAGAAAGUACUUACGAAUUGCUUCGGCAGAUCGUAGAAACUUUUUUAAGAUUGGAAGAGAAUAGUCGCAUAUCUCCUGAUAAAGGCGAAAGACUUGUUGAGACGUCCAUGACAUCUUUUCCAGGAGACGUAACUUUAUAUACGUCGAUUGAUCUCUUUGACUGUUUAAAGAAUGAUUCUAAUCCUCAUCGAAAGGAAAAUAAAAAAGAAAUUUCGAAUGAAGAACAACGACCUACCUUAUCGACCGAUGGUACGCAAAAAACUUAUCGCAAAGAAACAAAAUUACGAAGUAAGUGGACAAUUACCGAAAAUUUAGUAUCUUCGAUAGGCAAUGAGAAAUCAUUAAAUCGUACAAAAAAUAACGUGCGAACAGGUAGCAGAUUUCGCAGCAAAAACGCUUCCUCGUUGUCCGGCAAAAUUGAUACAUCAGAACGAUCUCUUAACGCAGAGUUCUUUCAUUUGAAAAGCACCGUUAUGAAGAGAAAUCAUGAGAGUUCGAAAGAAUGGCUAUUGAAAGACAAAAAACAAGAGUUUUUUUUUGACGGCAGCAUUCCAUCACCAUGUAUGAAUACAGGAUUGGUUUACGGUAUUAAAAGACCAACUACAAAUAUGAAUUAUGAUCCUUCAAUAUUUGGAAAUACUUUAGCUAGAAAUUUCUACCCUGAUAAUGAUAAUGUUCCGAUAGCACACGUCGAUAGUAGAAUAAUGUACGAGAAUAAAUCGAAUAUCGGUGCUCCAGUUUAUAUUGGCAAAUCAUCAACUGAUCAACUCGAAUUAUCAGCUGUUCCAAGAAAUAGAAUGACGUUGUUAAGUCAAAUCGAACCGGAUAUACCAGAAAAGGAAUCCGAAGAGAUGACUGCUAAUCUCUCAGCUUGGUUCGCCAGCAUGAGAAAUACUAAUGGACAAGCCCAACAGCAGCAGCAACAACAUCAACAACAAGAACAACAGCAGCAACAACAACAACAACAUAUUACUCAACACCACUCGUUGUCUCAUCGAGGAGAAACUCUCUCUAGGAAGACGAUAGACUUUACCAGACAAUUACAAAUCGAUACGAAUCGACAACUUCAAACAUUAAGGAACAUGCAAAGUAUUCAAAGUGCACCUUGGAAUGCUGAACACAUUCUUGGCAAACGAUUAAAUGUUCACAAUCAAAUUCCUGAAGAAUACGACAGUUCGGAAGAUGUAAGAGUUUACAUGAAACCUGGUAGUUAUAAUGUACCGAAGAAAAGACAUCAGAGAAAGACUAAUAUACGACGUGCAGACAAUUUACGUGGUUCUGGGAAUAAUCAUAGGAAUGUGCAUUCAACUAGAAGAGAGAAAAUCCCUAGAGUAUUGGCAUCUUCGACACCAGUAACUCGAACUACAUUAAAUUCUACAACAACACAAAGUAUCUCGUUACACAAUUCACCGACCAUUUUAAAACGUGUUACCCCAAUCAAGGACAAUCUUGAACAAGACGUUACUUGGAAGGCAGCAUGUGCUUCUGCAGAAAUCCUAUUAGAAGUUCUCAACGUAAAGGAUACGGUAAAAGAGACGAUCGAUGAUGAUUCUGACGAUGAUGAUGACUCUGACGACGACGAAGAUACUAAAAUUGAGAAAGGAAGUGAUAAAGAAGAUCGUGAGUCAUUGAAAAAUUUGCAUCGUCAGAAACUAGCUCAACAUAAUCAAAUAAAAUCAAUGAAAAAACGUAAGGAUGUUGUAGAAAUCGAUGCAUCAAGUUACGAAGCAUCCGAAGAUGAUUCUGGAUCAACUAGUAAAUUAUCUCCACGUACGAACGUUCUCUUAAAUUCGCAAGAGAAUCGUAAUGCUAAAACUAACGUGAAAACUGAUUCAUGGCUUAUCAGAACUCUCAACAAUGCUAGUAUGAUGGGUAAACAGAGAAGAAGAAAAAAUGAAUUUACUAUAGUAGAAAGUUCAGAAUCCUCGAACAGUUCGAUGAUCGAAGAAGAACGAACAUGUUUGACUUCGAUAACAGCUGUUGGUUUGACUACAACAACGAUCACAGCUACUACAACGAUCAAAGAUCGAGAAGAAACGAUUACUUCCAGAGAAAUUGGUAUCACCGAUCGAGUGAACGAAAACGAUCUUUUAACUGAGAUCAAAAAGGAUACUGAAAAUACCGUAGGACGUGCUACUUAUUCGGAAACUGUACGCAGAUCGACAGGACUUUCUACCGGAUCGUCGUCUAACGUAAUACGAUCGGUAAAGAAGAAACCUGUUACCUCGAGUCCAUCUUUAAAUUAUACUACGAUCGUACCGAUCCCUGGACGUAAAUGUCAACGCAAAGAUUCUGAAAGAUCUUACCACUUGUUACAUAAAUCACGAAAACCCCCGAUUAAAAAGACAUCGAGAAUUAUAGACGAUAAUGAAGAUCGUAGAUCGGAAAAUGGAUCGUUCUCUUGUUCGAAAUCAAAAAUGGUAGGAAACGAAACGUCAUUUUCAUCGAUGAUCAAUUUAUCUUCUAAAUCUUCUGCAAAUAAAUCUUUGCAAUGUAAAAAGAAAGGAGAUAAUAGUGACACGAUCGAUAAUUUUGUUGAAACAAAAUAUGGAAAUAAAUCGAAUGAUCGAGGUUGGUCGAUUUGGUAUAGUUCAAGAAGAAAACAAAGCCUAAGUCCGCUUGCUUUGAGUAAAUUAGAAGCUAUUUAUCGAGCUCUUUGUCAAAUGGACGAAAUAAAAAUUUUUAAAUGUCCGCCCUCGAUCGAUAAUACCGAUCGAUCGCCCACUACAAUCGGAACGAUGGAAGAUUAUUGCAAAGCUAUUAAAAGUCCAUUGUUUCUCGAAACGGUCGAAUAUAAAAUUAAAAAUCGGAUUUAUCAUAAGAUCGAGCAUGCUGUUCGAGAUUUUCGAAGGAUUGUUCAUAAUUCGAAAAUUUAUUACAAGAAUGACACUGAUCGAGUGAAAAAGAUCGAGAAUUUAUCAAAGAAACUCGAAGAAUUAUUUGAAGAACACUUUACCAAUUGGGAUUUUGAAAAUAUUAAUGGUAGUCCGAGAGAAGAUUCGCCGAUACGUCCGAGAUUGAAAUCAACGAAUUCAAAUCAAAAAACACUUAUUGGGCGUUAUGGAAAUUCUAAGAGAAGUCCUUCAACUAUAACCAUUACAGAAAGCACGUCGCUUCGAUAACGAUACUUAACACUACCUCUCUUCUCUCUUUUGCUCUCCUACAUUGCCUCUUUCUGGUUUAUAAUUAAAUAACAUCAAGAAAAUAUUCUAUUAACAACGAAAAUAUUUUUUCAUUGAUUUAGGAUGAUGAUGAUGAUGAUGAUGAUGAUGAUGAUGAUGAUGAUUAUGAUGAUGAUGAUGAUGAUGAUGAUGAUGAUGAUGAUGAUGAUGAUGAUGAUUAUAGCUAUAGUAUUUACAAUAGAAUCGAAGUAAUAAUACGUGCUCUCUAGUCAUUAUAAACGAAUCACUGUUGAUAUUGUUAUUAAGUACGUUUUACGAAUUCAUUUGAUUGAAUCUCAAAUUUUCCCGCCUCCUCUAUAUAUUUUUCUUUCUUUUUUUGGCAUCCAAUUCUAAUCUAAUAUAUAUAUAUAUGAUCUAAUAUAUAUAUAUAUACACACACACAUACACCACGAAUGUUCAAAACCAUUCUAAGAUAUCAUAAAAUAGAAAGUUUUGGUUUCUUAAAUAUUAUUUAAUUUAUUAUUUUGAUACACAAUACUAACAAUUCUUUCAUAUAAUCUUAAUCAUCGUGCAAAGUGCAAAGUUUCGUUUGUUCUUUUUUAUAUCGAGAGUAUUAUUUCGAAAAAGUAUUACGUAAGUAAGAUUUCAUAAAGGAAUAUAACAAAAUAAUACAUUAUAUAAACCGAAUUGAAAAAAGAAAAAAUAAAUAAAAAUGUUGAUAUUGAAAUAUAUCGCAAUGAUUAACCGAUUCGAUGUUCUCAUUAUAUCGAAUUAAUAUAUAGAUAUAACAUCAAAUAUUUUUCGAACAUUCUUCAAAAUAAUCGAUUAAUUUAGUACAUACAUAUUUAGCAUUAAAUUUCUUCAAUUGUAGAUUAUACAUUUUAUGAACGAUAAAUGUAAUACGUCAUUAGAUUUGAUAAUAUCUCAUGAUAAUAUGUUAUUAUAUAUUCAACUACUUCGAAGAUUAUUUCAAAUUUGCCGCGCAAAUCUUCGUUGCUUCGUAUUUUUACGUAUAUAACCUAUGCAUCUUAUUUAAUUAAUAAUAAAAGACACGUCGAUUGAUAUUAAAUUCUUUCACAUGACAAAAAAGUUAGCAUGAACCUGUAAAACUUAGAACGUUGAUUACGAAAUGGCUAUUUUACGAUAUAUUUUAAUGAUUGUAUUAUAACGCGUGAUAUGCGACUUCGUCAGAAAUUAACUGUGCAUAACAACUGUAGAUAAAGAAAGAAAAGAAACAAGAGAAAAAUAAAAAACACAUUUUCAAAAAUUAUAAAAGAGAUGUAAUGAAAUUACUGGUGAAAAACAAUAUGACGUCGUCUCAUUACGAUGUUAUAUAACAUGUAAUUUGAAGUCAUUACAAUAACGAAAAAAUAUCUUUACUUUUAUAUCGUAAUAUCGAUAUACAUGUUCUUUUCUACGCUUUCUGAACAUUUAAUUAACUAACAUGAACGUUUUUAUUUACUGAUGUCGCAUCAAGGGUUGGUAAUACUAACUCUUAUACACAGAUCAGAACGUAGACAUCAGCGCCGUUCUAGAAAUGCAGUAAUAAUUUUUCUUCUCUUACAUGAAGUUGGCUAACCUACGCGAGUUGGAUUUUCAAAUCUCAAAUACGUAACGGUAAGCGUGCAACGUUACGAUCUUUUAAAAAAUAAUUAAAAAGAUAAAGGUAUAAAGUAAAAGUUUUGUAAAGAAUUAUUAAAUAAAUAAAGA